rnacentral:rRNA from 1 species
UACAGAGGUCUCAAGCGUUGUUCGGAAUCACUGGGCGUAAAGGGUGCGUAGGUGGCGUGUUAAGUCAGAUGUGAAAGCCCGGGGCUCAACCUCGGAACUGCAUCCGAUACUACCAUGCUGGAGUACUGAAGAGGUGACUAGAAUUCUCGGUGUAGCAGUGAAAUGCGUAGAUAUCGAGAGGAAUACCAAAGGCGAAGGCAGGUCACUGGGCAGUUACUGACACUGAGGCACGAAGGCCAGGGGAGCAAACGGG